rnacentral:tRNA from 1 species
GGAGUUUUAAGUUAUUUAAACUGUUAGCCUUCAAAGCUGAAAAUAGGGGAUCUAGACUCUG